AGGGUUUGAUUAUGGCUCAGAUUGAACGCUGGCGGCAGGCCUAACACAUGCAAGUCGAGCGGUAGAGAGGUGCUUGCACCUCUUGAGAGCGGCGGACGGGUGAGUAAUGCCUAGGAAUCUGCCUGGUAGUGGGGGAUAACGCUCGGAAACGGACGCUAAUACCGCAUACGUCCUACGGGAGAAAGCAGGGGACCUUCGGGCCUUGCGCUAUCAGAUGAGCCUAGGUCGGAUUAGCUAGUUGGUGGGGUAAUGGCUCACCAAGGCGACGAUCCGUAACUGGUCUGAGAGGAUGAUCAGUCACACUGGAACUGAGACACGGUCCAGACUCCUACGGGAGGCAGCAGUGGGGAAUAUUGGACAAUGGGCGAAAGCCUGAUCCAGCCAUGCCGCGUGUGUGAAGAAGGUCUUCGGAUUGUAAAGCACUUUAAGUUGGGAGGAAGGGCAUUAACCUAAUACGUUAGUGUUUUGACGUUACCGACAGAAUAAGCACCGGCUAACUCUGUGCCAGCAGCCGCGGUAAUACAGAGGGUGCAAGCGUUAAUCGGAAUUACUGGGCGUAAAGCGCGCGUAGGUGGUUCGUUAAGUUGGAUGUGAAAUCCCCGGGCUCAACCUGGGAACUGCAUUCAAAACUGUCGAGCUAGAGUAUGGUAGAGGGUGGUGGAAUUUCCUGUGUAGCGGUGAAAUGCGUAGAUAUAGGAAGGAACACCAGUGGCGAAGGCGACCACCUGGACUGAUACUGACACUGAGGUGCGAAAGCGUGGGGAGCAAACAGGAUUAGAUACCCUGGUAGUCCACGCCGUAAACGAUGUCAACUAGCCGUUGGGAGCCUUGAGCUCUUAGUGGCGCAGCUAACGCAUUAAGUUGACCGCCUGGGAGUACGGCCGCAAGGUUAAAACUCAAAUGAAUUGACGGGGGCCCGCACAAGCGGUGGAGCAUGUGGUUUAAUUCGA
rnacentral:rRNA from 1 species